rnacentral:rRNA from 1 species
CCGGAAACGAUCCUAGCUUGCUAGGAGGCGUCGAGCGGCGGACGGGUGAGUAAUGCAUAGGAAUCUACCCGGUAGUGGGGGAUAACCUGGGGAAACCCAGGCUAAUACCGCAUACGUCCUACGGGAGAAAGCAGGGGAUCUUCGGACCUUGCGCUAUCGGAUGAGCCUAUGUCGGAUUAGCUAGUUGGUGAGGUAACGGCUCACCAAGGCUGCGAUCCGUAGCUGGUCUGAGAGGAUGAUCAGCCACAUCGGGACUGAGACACGGCCCGAACUCCUACGGGAGGCAGCAGUGGGGAAUAUUGGACAAUGGGCGAAAGCCUGAUCCAGCCAUGCCGCGUGUGUGAAGAAGGCCUUCGGGUUGUAAAGCACUUUCAGUGAGGAAGAAAGCCUUGAGGCUAAUACCCUNGAGGGAGGACAUCACUCACAGAAGAAGCACCGGCUAACUCCGUGCCAGCAGCCGCGGUAAUACGGAGGGUGCGAGCGUUAAUCGGAAUUACUGGGCGUAAAGCGCGCGUAGGCGGCUUGAUAAGCCGGUUGUGAAAGCCCCGCGCGUAGGCGGCUUGAUAAGCCGGUUGUGAAAGCCCCUGGGCUCAACCUGGGAACGGCAUCCGGAACUGUCAGGCUAGAGUGCAGGAGAGGAAGGUAGAAUUCCCGGUGUAGCGGUGAAAUGCGUAGAGAUCGGGAGGAAUACCAGUGGCGAAGGCGGCCUUCUGGACUGACACUGACGCUGAGGUGCGAAAGCGUGGGUAGCAAACAGGAUUAGAUACCCUGGUAGUCCACGCCGUAAACGAUGUCGACUAGCCGUUGGGCUCCUUGAGAGCUUUGUGGCGCAGUUAACGCGAUAAGUCGACCGCCUGGGGAGUACGGCCGCAAGGUUAAAACUCAAAUGAAUUGACGGGGGCCCGCACAAGCGGUGGAGCAUGUGGUUUAAUUCGAUGCAACGCGAAGAACCUUACCUACCCUUGACAUCGAGAGAACUUUCCAGAGAUGGAUUGGUGCCUUCGGGANCUCUCAGACAGGUGCUGCAUGGCUGUCGUCAGCUCGUGUUGUGAAAUGUUGGGUUAAGUCCCGUAACGAGCGCAACCCUUGUCCCUAUUUGCCAGCGAUUCGGUCGGGAACUCUAGGGAGACUGCCGGUGACAAACCGGAGGAAGGUGGGGACGACGUCAAGUCAUCAUGGCCCUUACGGGUAGGGCUACACACGUGCUACAAUGGCCGGUACAAUGGGUUGCGAAUCCGCGAGGUGGAGCUAAUCCCAUAAAGCCGGUCUCAGUCCGGAUCGGAGUCUGCAACUCGACUCCGUGAAGUCGGAAUCGCUAGUAAUCGUGAUUCA